rnacentral:rRNA from 1 species
UACGGAGGGUGCAAGCGUUAUCCGGAAUUACUGGGCGUAAAGAGUUGCGUAGGUGGCAUUGUAAGUUGAUAGUGAAAGCGUCCGGCUCAACCGGAUAAACAUUAUCAAAACUGCAAAGCUAGAGGACAAGAGAGGUCACUGGAAUUCCUAGUGUAGGAGUGAAAUCCGUAGAUAUUAGGAGGAACACCGAUGGCGUAGGCAGGUGACUGGCUUGUUCCUGACACUAAGGCACGAAAGCGUGGGGAGCGAACAGG